UCCGGUUCCAUCGUCCCCAGUCAACGAGGCUUUGGUUAAAUGGCUGAAAUGUGGUCUGUGAUGAACACAAGCUCAAGACACUUUCACGUUUUAUUCUCCGACAUAAAAUACAUCAAUAUUACCCCACUCGUGUUUUUUUAAGCAGGCAUUUGCUAACAAGUGGCUAAAUGGGACUACAGAGAGGCCGUUGGGGAAUUAAAACGUCAUCACGCCAAAAAGUUACUUCCCUGGUUUACAUUGAAAUGACAGCAGUGUUUUGUAAGAAGAUGCUUUGAGUUCAUCAAUAAAUUAGCAGAAGGCAAACUCCUCAAUCAGCUGUGACUCAGCGAGUGCCAGUUUAAAGAGAUUGAGGCCGAAGUUGACGGUGCCUCUGCUCUU